UACGUAGGGUGCAAGCGUUGUCCGGAAUUAUUGGGCGUAAAGAGCUCGUAGGCGGUCUGUCACGUCGGCUGUGAAAACCCGAGGCUCAACCUCGGGCCUGCAGUCGAUACGGGCAAACUAGAGUACUGCAGGGGAGACUGGAAUUCCUGGUGUAGCGGUGAAAUGCGCAGAUAUCAGGAGGAACACCGGUGGCGAAGGCGGGUCUCUGGGCCGGAACUGACGCUGAGGAGCGAAAGCGUGGGUAGCAAACAGG
rnacentral:rRNA from 1 species